rnacentral:rRNA from 1 species
AACGAACGCUGGCGGCAGGCUAACACAUGCAAGUCGAGCGCCCCGCAAGGGGAGCGGCAGACGGGUGAGUAACGCGUGGGAAUCUACCCAUCUCUACGGAAUAACGCAUGGAAACGUGUGCUAAUACCGUAUACGUCCUUCGGGAGAAAGAUUUAUCGGAGAUGGAUGAGCCCGCGUUGGAUUAGCUAGUUGGUGGGGUAAAGGCCUACCAAGGCGACGAUCCAUAGCUGGUCUGAGAGGAUGAUCAGCCACACUGGGACUGAGACACGGCCCAGACUCCUACGGGAGGCAGCAAUGGGGAAUAUUGGACAAUGGGCGCAAGCCUGAUCCAGCCAUGCCGCGUGAGUGAUGAAGGCCCUAGGGUUGUAAAGCUCUUUCACCGGUGAAGAUAAUGACGGUAACCGGAGAAGAAGCCCCGGCUAACUUCGUGCCAGCCGCCGCGGUAAUAC